rnacentral:rRNA from 1 species
GGGAUAAGGCUCCAUGGUCGAGAGGGAAACAGCCCAGAGCAUCGACUAAGGCCCCUAAGCGUACGCUAAGUGGGAAAGGAUGUGGAGUCGCAGAGACAACCAGGAGGUUGGCUUAGAAGCAGCCACCCUUGAAAGAGUGCGUAAUAGCUCACUGGUCUAGUGAUUCCGCGCCGACAAUGUAGCGGGGCUCAAGCGUACCGCCGAAGUCGUGUCAUUGCAGCAAUACUCCCAACGGAGGCUGUGAUGGGUAGGGGAGCGUCGUGUGCCGGGUGAAGCCGCGCCGGAAGGCAGUGGUGGACGGUUCACGAGUGAGAAUGCAGGCAUGAGUAGCGAUACACACGUGAGAAACGUGUGCGCCGAUUGACUAAGGGUUCCUGGGUCAAGCUGAUCUGCCCAGGGUAAGUCGGGACCUAAGGCGAGGCCGACAGGCGUAGUCGAUGGAUAACCGGUUGAUAUUCCGGUACCCGCUGUGAAGCGUCAAACAUCGAACCAGGCGAUGCUAAGUCCGUGAAGCCGCCCCGGAGCCUUCGGGCAAAGGGGAGUGGUGGAGCCGACGGACCAGACCUGUAGUAGGUGAGUGAUGGGGUGACGCAGGAAGGUAGUCCAUCCCGGGCGGUGGUUGUCCCGGGGUAAGGGUGUAGGACGUGUGRUAGGUAAAUCCGUCACRCAUUWAGKCUGAGACCUGAUGCCGAGCCGAUUGUGGUGAAGUGGAUGAUCCUAUGCUGUCGAGAAAAGCCUCUAGCGAGUUUCAUGGCGGCCCGUACCCUAAACCGACUCAGGUGGUCAGGUAGAGAAUACCGAGGCGUUCGGGUGAACUAUGGUUAAGGAACUCGGCAAAAUGCCCCCGUAACUUCGGGAGAAGGGGGGCCAUCACCGGUGAUGAGUCUUGCACUCUGAGCUGGGGGUGGCCGCAGAGACCAGCGAGAAGCGACUGUUUACUAAAAACACAGGUCCGUGCGAAGCCGUAAGGCGAUGUAUACGGACUGACGCCUGCCCGGUGCUGGAACGUUAAGGGGACCGGUUAGUCACUCUUCGGGUGG